CCCAUAUCAGGGAUAGCCUCUCGAAAGAGAGAUUAACACCGCAUAACAUCAUUUACCGGCAUCGGUUUGAUCAAAUAUUUAUAGGAUAUGGAUGGGCUCGCGUGACAUUAGCUAGUUGGAGAGGUAGGCUCACCAAGGCUACGAUGUCUAGGGGCUCUGAGAGGAGAAUCCCCCACACUGGUACAGACACGGACCAGACUCCUACGGGAGGCAGCAGUAAGGAAUAUUGGUCAAUGGAGGCAUCUGAACCAGCCAUGCCGCGUGCAGGAUGACUGCCCUAUGGGUUGUAAACUGCUUUUGAGGGAAUAAACCUUUCUACGUGUAGGAAGCUGAAUGUACCUGAAGAAUAAGGAUCGGCACUCCGUGCCAGCAGCCGCGGUAAUACGGAGGAUCCAAGCGUUAUCCGGAUUUAUUGGUUAAAGGGUGCGUAGGCGGUCCUAUAAGUCAGUGGUGAAAGACGGCAGCUUAACUGUCAGUGCCUUUGAUACUGUAGGACUUGAAUCUAUUUGAAGUGGGCGGAAUAAGACAAGUAGGUGAAAUGCAUAGAUAUGUCUUAGAACUCCGAUUGCGAAGGCAGCUCACUAAGUUAGUUGACGCUGAUGCACGAAAGCGUGGGGAUCAAACAGGAUUAGAUACCCUGGUAGUCCACCCUAAACGAUGAUAACUCGAUGUUUGCGAUACACAGUAAGCGUCCAAGCGAAAGCGU
rnacentral:rRNA from 1 species